rnacentral:rRNA from 1 species
GAUGAACGCUGGCGGCGUGCCUAAUACAUGCAAGUCGAGCGGACGGACGAGAAGCUUGCUUUUCUGAUGUUAGCGGCGGACGGGUGAGUAGCACGUGGAUAACCUACCUAUAAGACUGGGAUAACUUCGGGAAACCGGAGCUAAUACCGGAUAAUAUUUUGAACCGCAUGGUUCAAAAGUGAAAGACGGUCUUGCUGUCACUUAUAGAUGGAUCCGCGCUGCAUUAGCUAGUUGGUAAGGUAACGGCUUACCAAGGCAACGAUGCAUAGCCGACCUGAGAGGGUGAUCGGCCACCCUGGAACUGAGACACGGUCCAGACUCCUACGGGAGGCAGCAGUAGGGAAUCUUCCGCAAUGGGCGAAAGCCUGACGGAGCAACGCCGCGUGAGUGAUGAAGGUCUUCGGAUCGUAAAACUCUGUUAUUAGGGAAGAACAUAUGUGUAAGUAACUGUGCACAUCUUGACGGUACCUAAUCAGAAAGCCACGGCUAACUACGUG